rnacentral:rRNA from 1 species
AUAUGGGGGGACCAUCCUCCAAGGCUAAAUACUCCUGACUGACCGAUAGUGAACCAGUACCGUGAGGGAAAGGCGAAAAGAACCCCGGCGAGGGGAGUGAAAAAGAACCUGAAACCGUGUACGUACAAGCAGUGGGAGCACAGAGCAAUCUGUGUGACUGCGUACCUUUUGUAUAAUGGGUCAGCGACUUAUAUUCUGUAGCAAGGUUAACCGAAUAGGGGAGCCGAAGGGAAACCGAGUCUUAACUGGGCGUUAAGUUGCAGGGUAUAGACCCGAAACCCGGUGAUCUAGCCAUGGGCAGGUUGAAGGUUGGGUAACACUAACUGGAGGACCGAACCGACUAAUGUUGAAAAAUUAGCGGAUGACUUGUGGCUGGGGGUGAAAGGCCAAUCAAACCGGGAGAUAGCUGGUUCUCCCCGAAAGCUAUUUAGGUAGCGCCUCGUGAAUUCAUCUCCGGGGGUAGAGCACUGUUUCGGCAAGGGGGUCAUCCCGA